CCCUUAGAUGUCCGGGGCUGCACGCGCGCUACACUGAAGGAAUCAGCGUGCUAAAACCAUUGUCGAAAGGCAUUGGUAAACCCAUUAAAAUCCUACGUGAUUGGGAUCGGGAAUUGCAAUUAUUUCCCUUGAACGAGGAAUUCCCAGUAAGUGUGGGUCAUAAGCUCGCGUUGAUUACGUCCCUGCCCUUUGUACACACCGCCCGUCGCUGCCCGGGACUGAGCCGUUUCGAGGAAAGCGGGGACUGCUGCUGUCGGGGCUUUCGGGCCUUGGCUUCGGUGGAAACCGCUUUAAUCGCAGUGGCUUGAACCGGGCAAAAGUCGUAACA
rnacentral:rRNA from 1 species